UGGCGGCGAUGCUUCAUACAUGCAAGUCGAACGAUAAGGUCUCUUCGGAGAUACAUAAGUGGCGGACGGGUGAGUAAUAUGUAGGAAAUCUGCCCUAGAGAGGGGGACGAACAAGAGGGAAACUUCUGCUAAUACCCCAUAUGAGCGUACCUGAAAUGGUAUUCUUGAAAACUCCGGUGCUCUAGGAUGAGCCUGCAUCUGAUUAGCUUGUUGGCGGUGUAAUGGACCACCAAGGCGACGAUCAGUAGCUGGUUUGAGAGGAUGAUCAGCCACAAUGGGACUGAGACACGGCCCAUACUCCUACGGGAGGCAGCAGUAGGGAAUUUUGCGCAAUGGGCGAAAGCCUGAACCGCAGCAAUGCCGCGUGAACGUAGAAGCCCUUCGGGGUGUAAAGUUCUGUCAGUGGGGACGAAUUCUGACGGUACCCACAGAGGAAGCACCGGCUAACUCCGUGCCAGCCGCAGC
rnacentral:rRNA from 1 species